rnacentral:rRNA from 1 species
AACGCUGGCGGCGUGCCUAACACAUGCAAGUCGAACGACGAAACCGCCCCCGGGCGGACAUGAAGUGGCGAACGGGUGAGUAACACGUGACCGACCUGCCCCCGCCCAGGGACAGCCCCCCGAAAGGGGGAUUAAUACCUGGUACUCCGGAAGCGGCGCAUGCCGCCCCGGGAAAGCUCAGGCGGCGGGGGAUGGGGUCGCGGCCCAUCAGGUAGACGGCGGGGCAACGGCCCACCGUGCCGACGACGGGUAGCCGGGUUGAGAGACCGACCGGCCACAUUGGGACUGAGAUACGGCCCAGACUCC